GGGGAAUAUUGCACAAUGGGCGAAAGCCUGAUGCAGCAACGCCGCGUGAGGGAUGACGGCCUUCGGGUUGUAAACCUCUUUUAGUAGGGAAGAAGCGAAAGUGACGGUACCUGCAGAAAAAGCACCGGCUAACUACGUGCCAGCAGCCGCGGUAAUACGUAGGGUGCAAGCGUUGUCCGGAAUUAUUGGGCGUAAAGAGCUCGUAGGCGGCUUGUCGCGUCUGCUGUGAAAUCCCGAGGCUCAACCUCGGGCUUGCAGUGGGUACGGGCAGGCUAGAGUGCGGUAGGGGAGAUUGGAAUUCCUGGUGUAGCGGUGGAAUGCGCAGAUAUCAGGAGGAACACCGAUGGCGAAGGCAGAUCUCUGGGCCGCUACUGACGCUGAGGAGCGAAAGCAUGGGGAGCGAAC
rnacentral:rRNA from 1 species